ACCAUCUUUGAGAGCAUUUUUACUUCAUCUCUCCUUAAAUCCUUUUUGACCAGAGAGAAGAAAGAUGAAACACACCAUAAUUAUCCUCCUGCUGCUUCUCCUGGGCACCUGCACGGUUACCACCGCUU